GUAGGGAAUAUUGGGCAAUGGGUGCAAGCCUGACCCAGCCAUCCCGCGUGCCGGAUGAAGGCCCUCUGGGUCGUAAACGGCUUUUGACGGUGAAGAACCGAAAGGGUGCGCCCUUUUUUGACGGUAGCCGUUGAAUAAGCACCGGCUAACUCCGUGCCAGCAGCCGCGGUAAUACGGAGGGUGCGAGCGUUGUCCGGAUUUAUUGGGUUUAAAGGGUGCGUAGGCUGGAGGGACAGUCAGCGGUGAAAAGCAGUUGCUCAACAAUUGUCUUGCCGCAGAUACUACCUUUCUUGGAUUGGGAGGAGGUUACCGGAACGGAUGGUGUAGCGGUGAAAUGCAUAGAUAUCAUCCAGAACGCCAAUUGCGAAGGCAGGUAACUGUACCUAUAUCGACGCUGAUGCACGAAAGCAUGGGUAGCGAACAGGAUUAGAAACCCGGGUAGUCC
rnacentral:rRNA from 1 species